AAUAUACUCCCUCCGUCCGAAAAUACUUGUCGGAAGAGUGAAUGUAUCUUGAUGCAUUUUAGUUCUAGAUACAUCCAUUUCUAUCCAUUUUAUGCGACAACUAAUUCCGGACGGAGGAAGUAUCUG
rfam:Hordeum vulgare subsp. vulgare, WGS project CAJW01000000 data, contig: morex_contig_51217